rnacentral:miRNA from 1 species
GGGGCUGCUGUAGGUAGGAGUGCCUGUGUGCCGACCCAGGGGCUGGCUUUCCUCCUGUCCU